AUUGAACGCUGGCGGCAGGCCUAACACAUGCAAGUCGAACGAGUGGCGGACGGGUGAGUAAUGUCUGGGAAACUGCCUGAUGGAGGGGGAUAACUACUGGAAACGGUAGAUAAUACCGCAUACCAUCGGAUGUGCCCAGAUGGUUGUAGCUAUUAGUGGGGGUAAAGGCUCACCUAGGCGACGAUCCCUAGCUGGUAUGAGAGGAUUACCAGCCACACUGGAACUGAGACACUGUCCAGACUCCUACGGGAGGCAGCAGUGGGGAAUAUUGCACAAUUGGCUCAAGCCUGAUGCAGCCAUGCCGCGUGUAGGAAGAAGGCCGUCGGGUUGUAAAGUACUUUCAGCGGGGAGGCGUUACCCGCAGAAGAAGCACCGGCUAACUCCGUGCCAGCAGCCGCGGUAAUAC
rnacentral:rRNA from 1 species